GGGGAUGUAGCUCAGUGGUAGAGCACAUGCUUUACAUGUAUGAGAUCUCAGGUUCGAUCCCUGGCAUCUCCA
rnacentral:tRNA from 1 species